rnacentral:rRNA from 1 species
ACUCCUCGGGAGGCAGCAGUGGGGAAUAUUGCGCAAUGGGCGCAAGCCUGACGCAGCAACGCCGCGUGAGGGAUGACGGCCUUCGGGUUGUAAACCUCUUUCAAGCAGGGACGAUAAUGACGGUACCUGCAGAAAAAGCUCCGGCCAACUACGUGCCAGCAGCCGCGGUAAUACGUAGGGAGCGAGCGUUGUCCGGAUUCAUUGGGCGUAAAGAGCUCGUAGGCGGCUUGAUAAGUCGGAUGUGAAACCUCCAGGCUUAACCUGAAGUCGCCAUCCGAUACUGUCAUGGCUAG